AGAUGGACAGGGUCUAAUAUGUGUUGGGGAAGAAGGAAUGGAAUUAAGAUCUUUGCAAGAACUAAAUGGUAAGGAGCAGGAGGACAAAGACAAGAAGAAGAAGAAAAAGAAGAAGGGAAAGAAGGAUUCUAGCUCUUCCUCUUCUGACAGCUCUCUUCCUCUGACAGUGACAAAGACAAAAAGAAAAAGAAGUUGAAGAAG